GCCCCACUAGUCUGGGAGUACCACUUGGAAACAAGGUGCUAAUACCGGAUAAGAAAGCGGAUCGCAUGAUCAGCUUUUAAAAGGCGGCGUAAGCUGUCGCUAUGGGAUGGCCCCGCGGUGCAUUAGCUAGUUGGUAAGGUAAAGGCUUACCAAGGCGAUGAUGCAUAACCGAGUUGAGAGACUGAUCGGCCACAUUGGGACUGAGACACGGCCCAAACUCCUACGGGAGGCAGCAGCC
rnacentral:rRNA from 1 species